rnacentral:rRNA from 1 species
CCUACGGGUGGCAGCAGUGGGGAAUUUUGGACAAUGGGCGCAAGCCUGAUCCAGCCAUUCCGCGUGAGUGAAGAAGGCCUUCGGGUUGUAAAGCUCUUUCGCAAGGGAAGAAAACUUAGCCACUAACAUUGGCUGAGGUUGACGGUACCUUGAUAAGAAGCACCGGCUAACUACGUGCCAGCAGCCGCGGUAAUACGUAGGGUGCGAGCGUUAAUCGGAAUUACUGGGCGUAAAGCGUGCGCAGGCGGCUUUGUAAGUCAGAUGUGAAAUCCCCGAGCUCAACUUGGGAACUGCGUUUGAAACUACAAGGCUAGAAUAUGUCAGAGGGGGGUAGAAUUCCACGUGUAGCAGUGAAAUGCGUAGAGAUGUGGAGGAAUACCAAUGGCGAAGGCAGCCCCCUGGGAUAAUAUUGACGCUCAUGCACGAAAGCGUGGGGAGCA